rnacentral:rRNA from 1 species
GCUAACGUGUACUAAUGGCCCGUGAGGCUUGACCCUAUAACACCCAAGGGGU